UCAUGACUAACAUAAGAUUGUCUUUUAACAAUUUAGUAUUAUCUUUGGCAAAAAUGUUCUUAUAAAUUUGUUGUUUUCUUUUUUUCUGUUCUAGGAUCUGUGUCUCACUGUUCAUAUACUCACAGUUUGAUAUAACAGAAGAGUGUCCCAUAAUUGUCUUGAAGCCCACUUUGAGUAGACAUCCCUACUCUUUGAAGUACACUUUUCUUAACUAGGUAGCAGCUGCUUUAUUUAUAAUGUGGUUUAACUCCUUGCCACAACUAAUUUUGAAGUCAGCUCCCACACAUACUUAUCUCAGCCCUGCACUAUUGCGUCCAGAAGAACUUUCUGUUUCAUGAUCCACCCUGCCUUAUUGUUGCUCCUGCAGUGAGCAAAGGGGUAAUCCAUGGAAAGAAUUGUGAGGUAAAGCAGGCUCCGUCCAAGUUUGUCUGUGAUCAUGAUCCACAAUGUCUUUCAUGAUACUGGCUUCUAAGUAAAACUCACCUGACUUCUUGGCUUAUCUGUGGUUGCCCAGUGGAAGUUGAGGAUCUACAAUAGACGGGUA